rnacentral:tRNA from 2 species
CGGGGCGUAGCUCAGCUUGGCUAGAGCGCUGCGUUCGGGACGCAGAGGUCGCAAGUUCAAAUCUUGUCGCCCCGA